GUAACAAGGUCUCCGUUGGUGAACCAGCGGAGGGAUCAUUACCGAGUGUAAAAACUCCCAAACCAUUGUGAACUUACCACUGUUGCUUCGGCGGCCUCGCCCCGGGCGCGUUCGCGCGGCCCGGACCCAGGCGUCCGCCGGAGGCUUCAAACUCUUGUCUUUUAGUGUAUUUCUGAGUGGCAUAAGCAAAUAAAUCAAAACUUUCAGCAACGGAUCUCUUGGUUCUGGCAUCGAUGAAGAACGCAGCAAAAUGCGAUAAGUAAUGUGAAUUGCAGAAUUCAGUGAAUCAUCGAAUCUUUGAACGCACAUUGCGCCCGCCAGUAUUCUGGCGGGCAUGCCUGUCUGAGCGUCAUUUCAACCCUCAGGACCCGUUCGCGGGACCUGGCGUUGGGGAUCAGCCUGCCCCUGGCGGCGGCUGGCCCUGAAAUACAGUGGCGGUUCCCUCGCGAACUCCUCCGUGCAGUAAUUAAACCUCUCGCGGCAGGAUAGCGGUUGAACCACGCCGUUAAACCCCCCACUUCUCAAGGUUGACCUCAGAUCAGGUAGGAAUACCCGCUGAACUUAAGCAUAUC
rnacentral:misc_RNA from 1 species